AUGGGUGCGUAACACGUAGGUGACCUGCCCUCGAGCGGGGGAUAACGGUCCGAAAGGAUCGCUAAUACCGUAUGCGGUUGUGGGAUCAAAGCCACAACGAAACUCACGGGGCUCGGGGAGGGGCCUGCGGCCCAUCAGCUAGUUGGUAAGGUAACGGCUUACCAAGGCAACGACGGGUAGGGGGCCUGAGAGGGUGACCCCCCACACUGGCACUGACACACGGGCCAGACUCCUACGGGAGGCAGCAGUGAGGAAUAUUGCGCAAUGGGCGAAAGCCUGACGCAGCAACGCCGCGUGAGCGAUGAAGGCCUUCGGGUCGUAAAGCUCUUUUCCCAGGGACGAGAUGGGACGGUACCUGGGGAAUAAGUCACGGCUAACUACGUGCCAGCAGCCGCGGUAAAACGUAGGUGGCAAGCGUUAUCCGGAUUCACUGGGCGUAAAGCGCACGCAGGCGGCUCGGUAGGUAGGGCAUAAAAUCUCCUGGCUUAACUGGGAGGGGCUGUCCUAUACCGCCGGGCUUGAGGAUAGGAGAGGGAAGUGGAAUUGCCGGUGUAGUGGUGAAAUGCGUAGA
rnacentral:rRNA from 1 species